rfam:Myotis lucifugus cont2.14692, whole genome shotgun sequence.
GGCGGUUCUCGGGUGAUGCACCCCGGCAUCAGGCUCCCUCCUCUCUGGUUCUGGGUGUGUCAACCAAGAACCACU